rnacentral:rRNA from 1 species
UACAUGCAAGUCGAGCGGUAAGGCCUCUUCGGAGGUACACGAGCGGCGGACGGCUGAGUAACACGUAGGAACGUACCCCAAAGUGAGGGAUAAGCACUGGAAACAGUGUCUAAUACCGCAUGUGCUCUAAGGAGUAAAGCUCCGGCGCUUUGGGAACGGCCUGCGCAUGAUUAGCUUGUUGGUGAGGUAAUGGCUUACCAAGGCGAUGAUCAUUAGCUGGUCUGAGAGGAUGACCAGCCAGACUGGGACUGAGAACGGCCCAGACUCCUACGGGAGGCAGCAGUAGGGAAUUUUCCACAAUGGGCGAAAGCCUGAUGGAGCAACGCCGCGUGCAGGAUGAAUGCCUUCGGGUUGUAAACUGCUUUUAUAUGUGACGAUUAUGACGGUAGCAUAUGAAUAAGGAUCGGCUAACUCCGUGCCAGCAGCCGCGGUCAUACGGAGGAUCCAAGCGUUAUCCGGAAUUACUGGGCGUAAAGAGUUGCGUAGGUGGCAGAGUAAGCAAACAGUGAAAGCGUUCGGCUCAACCGAAUAUCCAUUGUUUGAACUGCUCA